rnacentral:rRNA from 1 species
ACGGGUGAGUAACGCGUAAAUAAUCUACCCUGAUGUCUGGAAUAAUUAGCCGAAAGGCUGACUAAUACGGGAUACAUGCUUUGCUGUUGGGUGAAGCAGGAAAGGUGGCCUCUAUUUAUAAGCUAUCGCAUUGGGAUGAGUUUGCGUACCAUUAGCUAGUUGGUGGGGUAAGGGCCCACCAAGGCGACGAUGGUUAGCGGGUCUGAGAGGAUGAUCCGCCACACUGGCACUGGAACACGGGCCAGACUCCUACGGGAGGCAGCAGUGAGGAAUAUUGCGCAAUGGGGGCAACCCUGACGCAGCGACGCCGCGUGAGUGAGGAAGGCCUUCGGGUCGUAAAGCUCUGUCAGCAGGGAAGAAGUGCAACACAGCUAACAUCUGUGUUGUUUGACGGUACCUGCAAAGGAAGCACCGGCUAACUCCGUGCCAGCAGCCGCGGUAAUACGGAGGGUGCGAGCGUUGUUCGGAAUCACUGGGCGUAAAGGGCGCGCAGGCGGUUUUGUAAGUCAGAUGUGAAAGCCCAUGGCUUAACUGUGGAAGUGCAUUUGAAACUGCAAGACUUGAGUACCAGAGGGGAAGGUGGAA